rnacentral:lncRNA from 1 species
AUGCAAUGGCACAAGUCGGAAUUAAAAUAAAGUCUCUAUAAACACGGUGAUGAAACAAUGGAGGUGCGCGACCAGAACAAUCUGAGGCAACCAGAAACACACUCUGGAAAGGCGGGUUGUGGAUGUUUUCUUACCAGAGCUGCCAUCUUUUACCAGAGUGAAUGUCUCAUUCCAAGAGGAAGACAAAUGCCAGGAAUUUCCAGCCCCUUGCUGAAGAGGGGGAGGGAGUCGUCACUGGCCUCCUCAAUAACACCACUCCACAGCCUUCCUUCCACUGUGGUCAUGAGACCCCUCUCAUGGGCUCAGGAGAUCAAUGCCUCUGAUAACUGGGGACAUCCUGUAGUUACCUUGUUCCUAGGAGCGCUGCCAGUUGCCACUCUGAGGAAUUACACUUGUGCUGGGGGGGGUGGGGGUCUGACUUCCCAGGCAGGUGGAAUUAGCAAAGGUGAAUUUCAGAAGAGAGAAAGCCACAUGCGUUUAAUUAAGGGAGCAACAACUCAUCAGGGUCACUGUCAACAGUCCACACACAGCCUGACCUUGAGCUGAGGAAAGCGAUUUAAGUUCCAGGCAUUUUUUGGCAGAAGGCUUGUUUAUUCUUUCCUUUUCUCUCUGCAGAAAAUGGCUCUGGGCACCUCCCCACUCUGCUUCCCCAAAGGCCUGGUGGCCUUGCUUGCUUCAUGUACACAGGUAGUUAUUUCUCUAAUAAGAUGAAGAGAGGCUGAUUAUUUUUUCAGUUUACCUUGUGGGGCCAGGAUAAUGUGAAGAGAAAAGGAAAGGAAAGAAGGAGAAAUGAUGAGUAAGCUUAAGUGAGAUGCAGAGCCUUGUACUAUGUGUUCUGAGGCUGCUUCUAAUAGGAUAAAAUCAGAAUUGGGCGAAACAUCUACUGGGGGACACAGAGAAGUAAAUAUAGUGACACCCUCUAACCUAUACCUCAUCUGGACAAUCCUUUGUUACAACAAAUGCAGUUAUAUACUCGUAAUUAAAAAAUAAAUUAAUUAAAUCUUUACGGGUUCA